AAAAAAACGAAAAUACAAAAAACGAAAUAACCUUCAUCUCUUCCAGCCUUUGAUGAAUUUUUAGACACUCUCGCUGAUUAUAUGAGCGCAAAACCUCUACUUUCUCUCUCUAGAUUUACAUAAUAUAAUACGCGCACUUUCUCUCUCUUGAUCCAACCAUCAGAUUGCGUGUUUCUUCACUCAAUUCCAUCUUCGUAGAUCCUGCACUCGGUAUCUCUGCUGCAAACACCGAAUCUGUUAAAAUGCCGCUUAGACUGGAAAUUAAGAGAAAACUUGCACAACGCUCGGAAAGAGUAAAAUCGGUGGAUCUACAUCCGACAGAGCCAUGGAUAUUGGCAAGUUUGUACUCAGGGACUGUUUGUAUUUGGAACUACCAAACUCAGACAAUGGUUAAAUCUUUUGAGGUUACAGAACUACCAGUUAGAUCUGCAAAGUUCAUUGCACGAAAGCAGUGGGUUGUGGCUGGUGCUGAUGACAUGUUCAUUCGUGUAUACAAUUACAACACAAUGGAUAAGGUCAAAGUGUUUGAGGCUCAUACAGAUUAUAUUAGGUGCGUGGCUGUUCAUCCCACUCUUCCAUACGUGCUGUCAUCCUCCGACGACAUGCUAAUCAAGCUCUGGGACUGGGAAAAAGGGUGGUUAUGCACUCAAAUAUUUGAGGGUCAUUCUCAUUAUGUGAUGCAAGUGACUUUCAAUCCAAAAGACACCAAUACUUUUGCCAGUGCAUCUCUCGAUCGCACUAUUAAGAUCUGGAAUCUGGGCUCCCCAGACCCAAACUUUACACUGGAUGCCCAUUUAAAAGGAGUCAAUUGUGUAGAUUAUUUCACGGGUGGUGAUAAACCGUACUUAAUCACUGGUUCUGAUGAUCACACUGCUAAGGUGUGGGAUUACCAGACAAAGAGCUGUGUCCAGACAUUAGAAGGCCAUACACACAAUGUUUCUGCAGUCUGCUUCCAUCCUGAACUUCCCAUCAUAAUAACAGGUUCUGAGGAUGGCACAGUCCGCAUUUGGCAUUCCACCACUUAUAGACUUGAAAACACAUUGAAUUAUGGUCUUGAAAGAGUUUGGGCAGUUGGCUACAUAAAAGGUUCUAGACGGGUUGUAAUCGGUUAUGAUGAAGGAACCAUCAUGGUAAAGCUUGGUCGGGAGGUACCUGUUGCUAGUAUGGAUAACAGUGGGAAAAUCAUUUGGGCCAAGCAUAAUGAAAUUCAGACUGUCAACAUCAAGAGCGUAGGAGCAGAUUAUGAGGUUGCUGAUGGAGAGCGAUUGCCUUUGGCAGUAAAGGAGUUGGGAACUUGUGACCUUUACCCACAGAGCUUAAAGCAUAACCCUAAUGGUAGGUUUAUUGUUGUAUGCGGAGAUGGUGAGUACAUCACAUACACAGCCUUGGCAUGGAGAAACAGAUCAUUUGGCUCAGCUUUGGAAUUUGUUUGGUCAACGGAAGGAGAAUAUGCUGUUAGAGAAAGUACAUCAAAAAUUAAAAUCUUUAGUAAAAAUUUUCUGGAGAAGAAAAGCAUUCGACCUACAUUUUCUGCUGAACAUAUUUAUGGGGGAACUUUAUUGGCCAUGUGCUCAAAUGAUUUCAUUUGCUUCUAUGAUUGGGCUGAAUGCAGGUUGAUACGGCGCAUCGAUGUCAAUGUUAAAAAUCUUUACUGGGCUGACGGUGGUGAUUUGGUGGCCGUUACCAGUGAUACAUCAUUCUACAUACUUAAGUAUAAUCGUGAUGUAGUUUCAGCUCAUCUAGACAGUGGUAAAUCAGUAGAUGAACAAGGCGUGGAAGAUGCGUUUGAGCUUCUUUAUGAAAUUAAUGAACGAGUAAGAACUGGGCUUUGGGUUGGGGAUUGUUUCAUUUACAAUAACUCUUCCUGGAGGCUCAAUUACUGCGUCGGUGGUGAGGUGACAACAAUGUUUCAUUUAGACCGACCCAUGUACUUGCUUGGAUAUCUUGCUGGUCAAAGUCGCGUUUAUCUCAUCGACAAAGAAUUUAAUGUCAUAGGGUAUACUUUGCUACUCAGCUUGAUUGAGUACAAGACUCUUGUAAUGCGUGGUGAUCUGGAAAGGGCAAAUGAGGUUUUACCAUCGAUUCCAAAGGAACAUCUUAACAGUGUGGCUCAUUUCUUGGAGUCACGAGGUAUGAUAGAAGAUGCACUGGAAGUUGCUACAGACCCUGACUACAGAUUUGAGUUAGCCAUACAGCUAGGCAAACUAGACAUCGCAAAGGAAAUUGCCACAGUAGCACAGAGUGAGUCUAAGUGGAAGCAAUUGGGGGAGUUAGCUAUGUCUACUGGAAAGUUGGACAUGACAGAGGAGUGCUUGAAGCAAGCAAAUGACCUAAGUGGUUUGCUGCUACUCUAUUCUUCGUUAGGCGAUGCUGAAGGAAUUACUGAACUUGCAUCUCUUGCCAAAGAGCAUGGGAAAAACAAUGUAGCAUUCCUUUGUUUAUUUAUGCUGGGUAAAUUGGAGGACUGCCUACAGCUGUUGGUUGACAGCAAUCGGAUACCUGAAGCUGCAUUGAUGGCUCGGUCUUACCUCCCAAGUAAGGUGUCAGAAAUCGCCGCUCUUUGGAGAAAGGACCUCAAUAAGAUUAAUCAGAAAGCUGCAGAAUCUCUUGCUGACCCGGAGGAAUAUCCUAAUUUGUUUGAGGAUUGGCAAGUUGCUCUUGCCGUUGAAACUAAAGCUGCCGAAACAAGGGGAAAAUAUCCUCCUGCAGCCGAAUAUAUGCAACAUGCUGACAGAUCAACUGCAAGUCUUAUAGAAGCUUUUAGAAACAUGCAAAUGGAUGAAGAUGAACCAUCGGAAAAUGGAGUCUUGGAUUAUGAGGAUGCAGAACAAAAUGGUGAUGAAGAAGAAGAGAUGGAAAUCGAGGACCAAGUAGAGGGCCAAGAAGAGGGUGUUGUGGUAGAUGCUGACUCAACGGAUGGUGCUGUACUCGUGAACGGUAAUGAGGCUGAUGAAGAGUGGGGUACGAAUAAUGAAGGAAAACCGUCAGCCUAAAAGCAAUUGUGCUUACACCACGUCACUGAGUCAACUCGAGACAGACGGUUCCAGCUGUAUAUGAAUUCUCUCAUGGGUUUCGGUUGCUAGUCUUUCUGCCAAGUGAUGUUAUUUAAGCACGACGAAUUUUGUUAUUGGACUUUUCGAGUUUCGGAUGUUAGUGUUUUUGUUGAUUUUUCUGCUCAUUAAUUUUUUUCUUCUACAUUUUUCAUGUGACGUUGUGUAUUGUAGAUAACACCAUUAAAUAUAGUAUAAUUUUGUUAUACUAUUCGUAUAUUUCUUA